GACGAACGCUGGCGGCGUGCUUAACACAUGCAAGUCGAGCGAGGAACUUCGGUUCCUAGCGGCGGACGGGUGAGUAACACGUGGGCAACCUGCCUCACAAUGGGGGAUAGCCUUCCGAAAGGAAGAUUAAUACCCCAUAAUACAAAGGAAACGCAUGUUUCUUUUGCCAAAGAAUUUCGUUGUGAGAUGGGCCCGCGGCGCAUUAGCUUGUUGGUGAGGUAACGGCUCACAAAGGCUUCGAUGCGUAGCCGAACUGAGAGGGUGAUCGGCCACAUUGGAUCUUAGACACGGUCGAGACUCCUACGGGAGGCAGCAGUGGUGAAUAUUGCACAAUGGAGGAAACUCUGAUGCAGCAACGCCGCGUGAGUGAUGAAGGUCUUCGGAUUGUAAAGCUCUGUCUUCUGGGACGAUGAUGACGGUACAAGAGGAGGAAGCCACGGCUAACUACGUGCCAGCAGCCGCAGUAA
rnacentral:rRNA from 1 species